rnacentral:rRNA from 1 species
AGUGACCGCUGGCGGUAGGCCUAACACAUGCACGUCGCACGCGUGGCGGACGGGUGAUGAAUACAUCGUAAUCUACUCUGUCGUGGGGGAUAACGUCGGGAAACUUACGAUAAUACCGCAUACGAUUGACUGCUCCGAUGUCGGAUUAGCUAGUUGGCGGGGUAAAGGCCCACCAAGGCGACGAUCCGUAGCUGGUCUGAGAGGAUGAUCAGCCACACUGGAACUGAGAAACGGUCCAGACUCCUACGUGAGGCAGCAGUGGGGAAUAUUGGACAAUGGGCGCAAGCCUGAUCCAGCCAUACCGCGUGGGUGAAGAAGGCCUUCGGGUUGUAAAGCCCUGAUGUGGGGAAAGCGGUACCCAAAGAAUAAGCACCGGCUAACUUCGUGCCAGCAGCCGCGGUAAUAG